rnacentral:rRNA from 1 species
UGAGGAAUAUUGGUCAAUGGACGCAAGUCUGAACCAGCCAAGUAGCGUGCAGGAUGACGGCCCUAUGGGUUGUAAACUGCUUUUAUAUGGGAAUAAAGUGAGGGACGUGUCCCUUAUUGCAUGUACCAUACGAAUAAGGACCGGCUAAUUCCGUGCCAGCAGCCGCGGUAAUACGGAAGGUCCAGGCGUUAUCCGGAUUUAUUGGGUUUAAAGGGAGCGUAGGCUGUUUGUUAAGCGUGUUGUGAAAUGUAAGAGAUCAACUUUUAGAUUGCAGCGCGAACUGGCAGACUUGAGUGCGCACAACGUAGGCGGAAUUCAUGGUGUAGCGGUGAAAUGCUUAGAUAUCAUGACGAACUCCGAUUGCGAAGGCAGCUUACGGGAGCGCAACUGACGCUAAAGCUCGAAGGUGCGGGUAUCGAACAGG